rnacentral:rRNA from 1 species
GCUUGGGGAUCUGCCUUUAGGUGGGGGAUAACUACUGGAAACGGUAGCUAAUACCGCAUGAUAUCUACGGAUCAAAGAUAGCCUCUGUAUAUGCUAUCGCCUAGAGAUGAACCCAAGUGGGAUUAGGUAGUUGGUGAGGUAACGGCUCACCAAGCCGACGAUCCCUAGCUGGUCUGAGAGGAUGAUCAGCCACACUGGAACUGAGACACGGUCCAGACUCCUACGGGAGGCAGCAGUGGGGAAUAUUGCACAAUGGGCGCAAGCCUGAUGCAGCCAUGCCGCGUGUGUGAAGAAGGCUUU